GGAAUAUUGCACAAUGGGCGAAAGCCUGAUGCAGCAACGCCGCGUGAGCGAUGAAGGCCUUUGGGUCGUAAAGCUCUGUCCUAGGGGAAGAAUAAAUGACGGUACCCUUGGAGGAAGCCCCGGCUAACUACGUGCCAGCAGCCGCGGUAAUACGUAGGGGGCAAGCGUUAUCCGGAAUUAUUGGGCGUAAAGAGUGCGUAGGUGGUUUUGUAAGCGCGGGGUGAAAGGCAAUAGCUCAACUAUUGUAAGCCCUGCGAACUGUGAGACUUGAGUGCAGGAGAGGAAAGCGGAAUUCCUAGUGUAGCGGUGAAAUGCGUAGAUAUUAGGAGGAACACCAGUGGCGAAGGCGGCUUUCUGGACUGUAACUGACACUGAGGCACGAAAGCGUGGGGA
rnacentral:rRNA from 1 species